GUGCCAGCAGCCGCGGUAAUUCCAGCUCCAAUAGCGUAUAUUAAAGUUGUUGCAGUUAAAAAGCUCGUAGUUGAACCUUGGGUCUGGCUGGCCGGUCCGCCUCACCGCGAGUACUGGUCCGGCUGGACCUUUCCUUCUGGGGAAUCCCAUGGCCUUCACUGGCUGUGGGGGGAACCAGGACUUUUACUGUGAAAAAAUUAGAGUGUUCAAAGCAGGCCUUUGCUCGAAUACAUUAGCAUGGAAUAAUAGAAUAGGACGUGCGGUUCUAUUUUGUUGGUUUCUAGGACCGCCGUAAUGAUUAAUAGGGAUAGUCGGGGGCGUCAGUAUUCAGCUGUCAGAGGUGAAAUUCUUGGAUUUGCUGAAGACUAACUACUGCGAAAGCAUUCGCCAAGGAUGUUUUCAUUAAUCAGGGAACGAAAGUUAGGGGAUCGAAGACGA
rnacentral:rRNA from 1 species